rnacentral:rRNA from 1 species
AGAGUUUGAUCMUGGCUCAGGAUGAACGCUAGCUACAGGCUUAACACAUGCAAGUCGAGGGGCAGCAUCAUCAAAGCUUGCUUUGAUGGAUGGCGACCGGCGCACGGGUGAGUAACACGUAUCCAACCUGCCGACAACACUGGGAUAGCCUUUCGAAAGAAAGAUUAAUACCGGAUGGCAUAGUUUUCCCGCAUGGGAUAAUUAUUAAAGAAUUUCGGUUGUCGAUGGGGAUGCGUUCCAUUAGGCAGUUGGCGGGGUAACGGCCCACCAAACCAACGAUGGAUAGGGGUUCUGAGAGGAAGGUCCCCCACAUUGGAACUGAGACACGGUCCAAACUCCUACGGGAGGCAGCAGUGAGGAAUAUUGGUCAAUGGACGAGAGUCUGAACCAGCCAAGUAGCGUGAAGGAUGACUGCCCUAUGGGUUGUAAACUUCUUUUAUACGGGAAUAAAGUUAGCCACGUGUGGCUUUUUGUAUGUACCGUAUGAAUAAGGAUCGGCUAACUCCGUGCCAGCAGCCGCGGUAAUACGGAGGAUCCGAGCGUUAUCCGGAUUUAUUGGGUUUAAAGGGAGCGUAGGCGGGUUGUUAAGUCAGUUGUGAAAGUUUGCGGCUCAACCGUAAAAUUGCAGUUGAUACUGGCGACCUUGAGUGCAACAGAGGUAGGCGGAAUUCGUGGUGUAGCGGUGAAAUGCUUAGAUAUCACGAAGAACUCCGAUUGCGAAGGCAGCUUACUGGAUUGUAACUGACGCUGAUGCUCGAAAGUGUGGGUAUCAAACAGGAUUAGAUACCCUGGUAGUCCACACAGUAAACGAUGAAUACUCGCUGUUGGCGAUAUACAGUCAGCGGCCAAGCGAAAGCAUUAAGUAUUCCACCUGGGGAGUACGCCGGCAACGGUGAAACUCAAAGGAAUUGACGGGGGCCCGCACAAGCGGAGGAACAUGUGGUUUAAUUCGAUGAUACGCGAGGAACCUUACCCGGGCUUAAAUUGCAACUGACUGAACCGGAAACGGUUCUUUCUUCGGACAGUUGUGAAGGUGCUGCAUGGUUGUCGUCAGCUCGUGCCGUGAGGUGUCGGCUUAAGUGCCAUAACGAGCGCAACCCUUAUCGAUAGUUACUAGCAGGUCAUGCUGAGGACUCUAUUGAGACUGCCGUCGUAAGAUGUGAGGAAGGUGGGGAUGACGUCAAAUCAGCACGGCCCUUACGUCCGGGGCUACACACGUGUUACAAUGGGGGGUACAGAAGGCAGCUACACGGCGACGUGGUGCUAAUCCCGAAAGCCUCUCUCAGUUCGGAUUGGAGUCUGCAACCCGACUCCAUGAAGCUGGAUUCGCUAGUAAUCGCGCAUCAGCCACGGCGCGGUGAAUACGUUCCCGGGCCUUGUACACACCGCCGUCAAGCCAUGAAAGCCGGGGGUACCUGAAGUACGUAACCGCGAGGAGCGUCCUAGGGUAAAACUGGUGA